GACGAACGCUGGCGGCGUGCCUAAUACAUGCAAGUCGAACGCUGAAGGAGGAGCUUGCUUCUCUGGAUGAGUUGCGAACGGGUGAGUAACGCGUAGGUAACCUGCCUGGUAGCGGGGGAUAACUAUUGGAAACGAUAGCUAAUACCGCAUAAUAGUAGAUGUUGCAUGACAUUUGCUUAAAAGGUGCAAUUGCAUCACUACCAGAUGGACCUGCGUUGUAUUAGCUAGUUGGUGAGGUAACGGCUCACCAAGGCAACGAUACAUAGCCGACCUGAGAGGGUGAUCGGCCACACUGGGACUGAGACACGGCCCAGACGCCUACGGGAGGCAGCAGUAGGGAAUCUUCGGCAAUGGACGGAAGUCUGACCGAGCAACGCCGCGUGAGUGAAGAAGGUUUUCGGAUCGUAAAGCUCUGUUGUAAGAGAAGAACGAGUGUGAGAGUGGAAAGUUCACACUGUGACGGUAUCUUACCAGAAAGGGACGGCUAACUACGUG
rnacentral:rRNA from 1 species